AUUGAACGCUGGCGGCAUGCUUUACACGUGCAAGUCGAACGGCAGCGCGGGCUUCGGCCUGGCGGCGAGUGGCGAACGGGUGAGUAAUACAUCGGAACGUGCCCAGUAGUGGGGGAUAGCUCGGCGAAAGCCGGAUUAAUACCGCAUACGACCUGAGGGUGAAAGCGGGGGAUCUUCGGACCUCGCGCUACUGGAGCGGCCGAUGGCAGAUUAGCUAGUUGGUGGGGUAAAGGCCUACCAAGGCGACGAUCUGUAGCUGGUCUGAGAGGACGACCAGCCACACUGGGACUGAGACACGGCCCAGACUCCUACGGGAGGCAGCAGUGGGGAAUUUUGGACAAUGGGCGAAAGCCUGAUCCAGCAAUGCCGCGUGUGUGAUGAAGGCCUUCGGGUUGUAAAGCACUUUUGGCGGGAACGAAAAGGACUGUGCCAAUACCACGGUUCGAUGACGGUACCCGCAGAAUAAGCACCGGCUAACUACGUG
rnacentral:rRNA from 1 species